rnacentral:rRNA from 1 species
AUUGAACGCUGGCGGCAGGCCUAACACAUGCAAGUCGAACGAGUGGCGGACGGGUGAGUAAUGUCUGGGAAACUGCCUGAUGGAGGGGGAUAACUACUGGAAACGGUAGCUAAUACCGCAUACCAUCGGAUGUGCCCAGAUGGGAUUAGCUAGUAGGUGGGGUAACGGCCCACCUAGGCGACGAUCCCUAGCUGGUCUGAGAGGAUGACCAGCCACACUGGAACUGAGACACGGUCCAGACUCCGACGGGAGGCAGCAGUGGGGAAUAUUGCACAAUGGGCGCAAGCCUGAUGCAGCCAUGCCGCGUGUAUGAAGAAGGCCUUCGGGUUGUAAAGUACUUUCAGCGAGGAGGCGUUACUCGAAGAGGAAGCACCGGCUAACUCCGUGCCAGCAGCCGCGGUAAUAC